GACGAACGCUGGCGGCGUGCCUAAUACAUGCAAGUAGAACGCUGAAGACUUUAGCUUGCUAGAGUUGGAAGAGUUGCGAACGGGUGAGUAACGCGUAGGUAACCUGCCUAUUAGUGGGGGAUAACUAUUGGAAACGAUAGCUAAUACCGCAUAAUAGUGUUUAACACAUGUUAGAGACUUAAAAGAUGCAAUUGCAUCACUAGUAGAUGGACCUGCGUUGUAUUAGCUAGUUGGUGGGGUAACGGCCUACCAAGGCGACGAUACAUAGCCGACCUGAGAGGGUGAUCGGCCACACUGGGACUGAGACACGGCCCAGACUCCUACGGGAGGCAGCAGUAGGGAAUCUUCGGCAAUGGGGGCAACCCUGACCGAGCAACGCCGCGUGAGUGAAGAAGGUUUUCGGAUCGUAAAGCUCUGUUGUAAGAGAAGAACGUGUGUGAGAGUGGAAAGUUCACACAGUGACGGUAACUUACCAGAAAGGGACGGCUAACUACGUGCCAGCAGCCGCGGUAAUACGUAGGUCCCGAGCGUUGUCCGGAUUUAUUGGGCGUAAAGCGAGCGCAGGCGGUUUAAUAAGUCUGAAGUUAAAGGCAGUGGCUUAACCAUUGUUCGCUUUGGAAACUGUUAAACUUGAGUGCAGAAGGGGAGAGUGGAAUUC
rnacentral:rRNA from 1 species